rnacentral:rRNA from 1 species
GAUGAACGCUGGCGGCGUGCCUAAUACAUGCAAGUCGAGCGAACAGAUAAGGAGCUUGCUCCUUUGACGUUAGCGGCGGACGGGUGAGUAACACGUGGGUAACCUACCUAUAAGACUGGAAUAACUCCGGGAAACCGGGGCUAAUGCCGGAUAACAUUUAGAACCGCAUGGUUCUAAAGUGAAAGAUGGUUUUGCUAUCACUUAUAGAUGGACCCGCGCCGUAUUAGCUAGUUGGUAAGGUAAUGGCUUACCAAGGCAACGAUACGUAGCCGACCUGAGAGGGUGAUCGGCCACACUGGAACUGAGACACGGUCCAGACUCCUACGGGAGGCAGCAGUAGGGAAUCUUCCGCAAUGGGCGAAAGCCUGACGGAGCAACGCCGCGUGAGUGAUGAAGGGUUUCGGCUCGUAAAACUCUGUUAUUAGGGAAGAACAAACGUGUAAGUAACUGUGCACGUCUUGACGGUACCUAAUCAGAAAGCCACGGCUAACUACGUGCCAGCAGCCGCCGUAA